rnacentral:tRNA from 7 species
ACAUAUGUGGUGUAGUGGUAGCUACUCUUGGCCUUUGCUUAGGAGGUCAUGGGUUCAAAUCCCCUUGAAAACAUGUGUU